rnacentral:rRNA from 1 species
UACGGAGGAUGCGAGCGUUGUCCGGAUUUACUGGGUUUAAAGGAUGCGUAGGCGGGCGAUUAAGUGAGAAUUGAAAGGCAGUCGCUCAACGAUUGUAAGGUUCUCAUACUGGUUGUCUUGAGAGUAGUGGAGGCAGAUGGAAUGAGUGGAGUAGCGGUGAAAUGCAUAGAUACCACUUGGAACACCGAUUGCGAAGGCAGUCUGCUACGCUAUAUCUGACGCUGAGGCACGAAAGCGUGGGGAGCAAACAGG